AGUGAACGCUGGCGGCAGGCCUAACACAUGCAAGUCGAGCGGCAGCGGGUCCUUCGGGAUGCCGGCGAGCAGCGGACGGGUGAGGAAUACAUCGGAAUCUGCCCUGUCGUGGGGGAUAACCUAGGGAAACUUAGGCUAAUACCGCAUACGACCUACGGGUGAAAGCGGGGGAUCGCAAGACCUCGCGCGACAGGAUGAGCCGAUGUCCGAUUAGCUAGUUGGCGGGGUAAAGGCCCACCAAGGCGACGAUCGGUAGCUGGUCUGAGAGGAUGAUCAGCCACACUGGGACUGAGACACGGCCCAGACUCCUACGGGAGGCAGCAGUGGGGAAUAUUGGACAAUGGGCGCAAGCCUGAUCCAGCCAUGCCGCGUGGGUGAAGAAGGCCUUCGGGUUGUAAAGCCCUUUUGUCCGGGAAGAAAUCGUCUGGGCUAAUACCCCGGGCGGAUGACGGUACCGGAAGAAUAAGCACCGGCUAACUUCGUG
rnacentral:rRNA from 1 species